UACGUAGGGCGCAAGCGUUGUCCGGAAUUAUUGGGCGUAAAGAGCUCGUAGGCGGCUUGUCACGUCGGGUGUGAAAGACCGGGGCUUAACCCCGGUUCUGCAUUCGAUACGGGCUGGCUAGAGUGUGGUAGGGGAGAUCGGAAUUCCUGGUGUAGCGGUGAAAUGCGCAGAUAUCAGGAGGAACACCGGUGGCGAAGGCGGAUCUCUGGGCCUUGCCUGACGCUGAGGCGCGAAAGCUAGGGGAGCGAACAGG
rnacentral:rRNA from 1 species